GUUCAGAAAGCAGUAUGAUUGGAGGCAUUUUAAAAAUUAUGUCAGAUCUUUCUCUUCCGUGCCAUGGCAAUGUUUCCGGAAGCUUCACUUUUAUUAAAAUGAGGGUUCAUUUGCUCACUUUCACCAGCCCUUGUUUCUGCUCACAACCUUCAGUGACUCACUAUCACCCUUGGACUGAAGCUCAGACUCCUCCCUGUGACAUUCUGGUCCCUCCAGGAUAUUACCACAACCCAUUUUUCCAGUCCAAGUGCCCACUGCUCUUUGCAGCUGCAAUCAGGUGCAUCUAAGAAGGUAUGAAGGUGAGAAGAAGGAGAAUAAAAGAAGAUGGGAAGAUAAGAAAGAAGGAAGAAAGGAGGGAGGAGGAGGAAACAAAUGUGAAGAUGAGGAGGUGCAGGGAGAUAGUGAUAUGCCCUGAGGUACUGGGGGUAAAAACCAAGCAGAAACCAGGAGCAUCAAAGUUCUGGGAAUCAGCUUUACUCCAUCUCUAUCAACACCUGCUCUGGAGAACACAGGAUCUUAACUUACAACUCUGCCUCAGCGUCCCAGAGUGCUGGGAUUAUAAUUAUGGGCCACCAUGCCUGGGUCACAUUCACUCUUUUAAAGCGUGCAGUUGGAUGGGUUGUGAAAGACACGUGUGCAGUAUCUCCACCUCUGCAAUCAAGAUGUGCAUUUCCAUUCACCACAGAAAGUUGCUUUGUGCCCCUUGGUGGAUUCCAUCUCCUAUCCCAGCUCCUGGCAUCCACUGAUGUGGUUUGGCCUUUUUCAGAUGCCAUUAAAUAGAAUCACCCAAUACUGAA
rnacentral:lncRNA from 1 species